GGGGGCAUAGCUCAGUUGGGAGAGCAGCAGACUGAAGUUAAUCAUUCUUCUGAAGGUCCCGCGUUCAAUCCGCGGUGCCCCCA
rnacentral:tRNA from 1 species